rnacentral:rRNA from 1 species
UUAGCUUGGAGGGUUUGAUCCUGGCUCAGGGUGAACGCUGGCGGCGUGCCUAACACAUGCAAGUCGAGCGGUGCAGCUGGAGGCUUUUGCCGAAGGCUGCAUAGCGGCGGACGGGUGCGUAACGCGUAGGAACGUGCCCCCUGGAGGCGGAUAGCCGUGGGAAACUGCGGGUAAACCGCCGUAGACUCGGGAGAGUAGAGGCCGAAAGGCGCCAGGGGAGCGGCCUGCGUCCCAUCAGGUAGUUGGUAGGGUAACG